rnacentral:lncRNA from 1 species
AUACAAACAUUUUUUUCUUGAAUGUUCACCCCAAAUAACUAACAAUUGUAAAGGAAUGGAAAUGUUGUAAUGACCCUGUGUUUGUCUCUCUUUUAGAUGUUCAGCCAGACAGACCUCAUCAUGGCCUAUAUAAUCAGGGAGCCACAUGUUACCUCAACAGUGUCCUGCAAGUUCUCUUUAUGACGACUGAGUCCCAUGACAGGUUCGAACCACAAUCACAAACAGAUCGUCGAUUGAGAAAAAUCUUUGAAGACAUGAAGAAGAAAACAUGUAAAACAAAAAAAGUCACUGCAACAUUGGGCAUUGAAAACGGUAAGCUGGGCAGUAUUGAGAAACUUCAAUGAAAUCAGCAUAUUAGAUUCAGUUUAAUGUAUCAUUUUGCAGUUGAUGAACGCCGUGAUGCAGCUGAAUGUCUGGAGAUGAUCCUACAUAAGGUCAGCCCACAGGCCGCUGAGGUGAGCAGUCUACAACAACCAUGUUUUUGUGAAGAGACAAAUGAGAAUGAUGUGUGACAAUAGACAUUGUUAUGCAAAGGUCUUCAAGGGAGAAAUGACUCAAGUCACAAAAUGUUCAGAAGGCCACAUCAUCAAUGAAGAGACAAAACCAUUCUGGACUCUCCCUCUGUCACUGAAAGAUACUGCUGAUACAACCUACAGUGUGGUGAGCAGAGAAGGAUCAGAAUUCUUGUUCAGUGUUUUGAUGUGAUGUGAGGAUUUUGAUCUCAUAUGGAAUUUAUUACAACAUUUUUAUUUUCACAGCAAAACAGCUUUCAACAGAAUUUCCCAACCAAAACAUACACAGGAGAUAACAUGGUGCACUGCAAUAAAUGUAACAAGAAAACAGAGGAAACAAUUGAAAGUGAGAUGGUAGAAGCCCCUCAGAUUCUGACUCUACUCCUCAAGAGACCUGACACAAAGUCACGUGGCAAAUCACACCGCUGUGUGGAUGUGCCACCUGAAUUACAGUUAAAGGCAGGGAAUAUUGUCAUUCAUUAUAUGUGAUUUAUAUCUGAAUGGAGUUUCUUUUCGUUGCUUUUAAAAUCUUUUAUUUACCUGACAGUGUUUUUCAUUGUAGAACAAGACGUUCAAACUGUAUGGGAUGGUGAAUCUUGUAGGCAGUCUGCAGGCUGGACAUCACACAGCCACCAUCCUGUCCAAUCAGGAUAACACCUGGUAUGAGUUUUGUGAUGAACGAGUCAACAAGGUGAGCAGGAUUAUACUGGACUUGAAAAUGUGCAAGCAGGUGGAGCUUAGCUGGGCUGCAUGAAGCCUUGUUGCUGACAGCUAGAUAGAUGGUUAGC